AGCCAGUUGCCUACAAUUGAAUUGAUUACUCCUCAACUGCAAAUCCCCUUUCCACCUUUUCAGCAAUCUAAAAAUAUAAAUUGAUAAUCUGCAAUAUAUCUUGGCUCAGGUCAUUAACUUCUGUUGUCUCUGAGGUCUACUUUUGGGCUCUUGAUCUUGAUCUUGCUCCAGCUUUCUUUUUAAGUUCCCCAAAUCUUCUUCACUCAGCUGGCCAUUCAGUUUUUGGUUUAAUGCAUAAGCCUCUGCUAACUUUCUCUUGCACUCCUUGCUCGCAGAAUCAUGAGAAAUCACUGGUUUUGGAUAAUCUCUUCCAAUUAUGCACUUUGCUUUAGUUUGAACACUUAGUGGUGCUGUCCAUGGCUCAUAGAUAUACUCCUUUGGCAUGUCUUUCAACACCGGAAGAAAAUGCCUUAUGUAAUUACCAUUUGGGUCAUACUUCUUCCCAAAAGAUAAAGGCGAGUAGAUACGA
rnacentral:misc_RNA from 1 species